GACGAACGCUGGCGGCGUGCUUAACACAUGCAAGUCGAACGGAAAGGCCCUGCUUUUGUGGGGUGCUCGAGUGGCGAACGGGUGAGUAACACGUGAGUAACCUGCCCUUGACUUUGGGAUAACUUCAGGAAACUGGGGCUAAUACCGGAUAGGAGCUCCUGCUGCAUGGUGGGGGUUGGAAAGUUUCGGCGGUUGGGGAUGGACUCGCGGCUUAUCAGCUUGUUGGUGGGGUAGUGGCUUACCAAGGCUUUGACGGGUAGCCGGCCUGAGAGGGUGACCGGGCACAUUGGGACUGAGAUACGGACCAGACUGCUACGGGAGGCAGCAGUGGGGAAUCUUGCACAAUGGGCGGAAGCCUGAUGCAGCAACGCCGCGUGCGGGAUGACGGCCUUCGGGUUGUAAACCGCUUUCGCCUGUGACGAAGCGUGAGAGACGGUAAUGGGUAAAGAAGCACCGGCUAACUACGUG
rnacentral:rRNA from 1 species